GAUGAACGCUAGCGGCAGGCUUAAUACAUGCAAGUCGAGGGGCAGCAUAGGUAGCAAUACUUGAUGGCGACCGGCAAACGGGUGCGGAACACGUACAGAACCUUCCUUCGAGCGGGGAAUAGCCCGGAGAAAUCCGGAUUAAUACCCCAUAGUAAAUUGAAAAGGCAUCUUUUUGAUUUUAAAGAUUUAUCACUUGAAGAUGGCUGUGCGCCUGAUUAGGUAGUUGGUGGGGUAAUGGCCCACCAAGCCUACGAUCAGUAACUGGCGUGAGAGCGCGACCAGUCACACGGGCACUGAGACACGGGCCCGACUCCUACGGGAGGCAGCAGUAAGGAAUAUUGGUCAAUGGACGCAAGUCUGAACCAGCCAUGCCGCGUGGAGGAUGAAGGUCCUCUGGAUUGUAAACUUCUUUUAUUUGGGAAGAAACCCACGUUUUCUAAUGUGGUUGACGGUACCAGAUGAAUAAGCACCGGCUAACUCCGUGC
rnacentral:rRNA from 1 species